rnacentral:rRNA from 1 species
UAACCUACCUAUAAGACGUGGACAACUACGGGAAACCGGAGCUAAUACCGGAUAAGAUAUCGAACCGCAUGGUUCGAUAGUGAGAGAUGGUUUUGCUAUCACUUAUAGAUGGACCCGCGCCGUAUUAGCUAGUUGGUGAGGUAACGGCUCACCAAGGCAACGAUACGUAGCCGACCUGAGAGGGUGAUCGGCCACACUGGAACUGAGACACGGUCCAGACUCCUACGGGAGGCAGCAGUC